rnacentral:rRNA from 1 species
UACGUAGGGUGCGAGCGUUGUCCGGAAUUAUUGGGCGUAAAGAGCUCGUAGGCGGCUUGUCGCGUCGGAUGUGAAAGCCCGGGGCUUAACUCCGGGUCUGCAUUCGAUACGGGCAGGCUAGAGUUCGGUAGGGGAGAUCGGAAUUCCUGGUGUAGCGGUGAAAUGCGCAGAUAUCAGGAGGAACACCGGUGGCGAAGGCGGAUCUCUGGGCCAAAACUGACGCUGAGGCGCGAAAGCUAGGGGAGCAAACAGG